rnacentral:rRNA from 1 species
UACGUAGGGUGCGAGCGUUGUCCGGAAUUAUUGGGCGUAAAGAGCUUGUAGGCGGUUUGUCGCGUCUGCCGUGAAAAUUCGAGGCUCAACCUCGAACUUGCGGUGGGUACGGGCAGACUAGAGUGUGGUAGGGGAGACUGGAAUUCCUGGUGUAGCGGUGAAAUGCGCAGAUAUCAGGAGGAACACCGAUGGCGAAGGCGGGUCUCUGGGCCGAUACUGACGCUGAGGAGCGAAAGCGUGGGGAGCGAACAGG